CGAGUUGUAGCCUCGUUUACGGGAAACAUGCCCCCCCACCAA
rnacentral:tRNA from 1 species